GACGAACGCUGGCGGCGUGCUUAACACAUGCAAGUCGAACGGAAAGGCCCCUUUGGGGGUACUCGAGUGGCGAACGGGUGAGUAACACGUGAGUAACCUGCCCUUGACUUCGGGAUAACUUCAGGAAACUGGGGCUAAUACCGGAUAGGAAUCCUUGCUGCAUGGUGGGGGUUGGAAAGCUUCGGCGGUUUUGGAUGGACUUGCGGCUUAUCAGCUUGUUGGUGGGGUAGUGGCUUACCAAGGCUUUGACGGGUAGCCGGCCUGAGAGGGCGACCGGCCACAUUGGGACUGAGAUACGGCCCAGACUCCUACGGGAGGCAGCAGUGGGGAAUAUUGCAAAAUGGGCGGAAGCCUGAUGCAGCAACGCCGCGUGCGGGAUGACGGCCUUCGGGUUGUAAACCGCUUUCAGCAGGGGCGAAGCUUGUGGUGACGGUACCUGCAGAAGAAGCACCGGCUAACUACGUG
rnacentral:rRNA from 1 species